rnacentral:rRNA from 1 species
UACGAAGGGGGCUAGCGUUGCUCGGAAUCACUGGGCGUAAAGGGUGCGUAGGCGGGUCUUUAAGUCAGGGGUGAAAUCCUGGAGCUCAACUCCAGAACUGCCUUUGAUACUGAAGAUCUUGAGUUCGGGAGAGGUGAGUGGAACUGCGAGUGUAGAGGUGAAAUUCGUAGAUAUUGGCAGGAACACCGGUGGCGAAGGCGGCUAUCUGGACGACAACUGACGCUGAGGCGCGAAAGCGUGGGGAUCAAACAGG